GAUGAACGCUGGCGGCGUGCCUAAUACAUGCAAGUCGAGCGAACAGACGAGGAUCUUGCUCCUCUGACGUUAGCGGCGGACGGGUGAGUAACACGUGGAUAACCUACCUAUAAGACUGGGAUAACUUCGGGAAACCGGAGCUAAUACCGGAUAAUAUAUUGAACCGCAUGGUUCAAUAGUGAAAGACGGUUUUGCUGUCACUUAUAGGUGGAUCCGCGCCGCAUUAGCUAGUUGGUAAGGUAACGGCUUACCAAGGCAACGAUGCGUAGCCGACAUGAGAGGGUGAUCGGCAACACUGGAACUGAGACACGGUCCAGAAUCCUACGGGAGGCAGCAGUAGGGAAUCUUGCGCAAUGGGCGAAAGCCUGACGGAGCAACGCCGCGUGAGUGAUGAAGGUCUUCGGAUCGUAAAACUCUGUUAUUAGGGAAGAAGAAAUGUGUAAGUAACUAUGCACGUAUUGACGGUAACUAAUCAGAAAGCAACGGCUAACUACGUG
rnacentral:rRNA from 1 species